rnacentral:lncRNA from 1 species
AUCAGGAGGCAGCUAUGCACCCAGCUCUGGAUAUUGAACAGCCAUCUCGGCAGCAGAGCUGGUUCCUACACAAACAGAAAACAGGACGGCUUUUGAAAAUGAACUUCCAGUAAUUUCAGGGAGAAGCCGAAAAGCGUUUGUCUCCACGCGAGGCUGAGUUGUUUUGUUAAACGUGUCUCUGCGCCUGGAAGGAAGGGGAUGAGCAG